UGGAAUCUGGUUUUCAGGCUUUCCACAAACAUGUCUAAAGCCCAACAGCUGAGGGACAGGCUGAAACAACAGCUGACAGCUGCUGCUGAAGAAAUAUUUGAGUUGUUAGAAGGAUUGAUUGCAGACUAUGAAGAAGAAAUUCAUCGUUUAAAAGAAGAGAACAAAGGACGGAAAGUUCUGGAAGCUGUUUUUAAUCCUCAAGUUCGCUUGUACAAAGCAGACAUGCAGCCGUUGUUGGUGAUGAAAGAAGAAACUCUCCCUGAACAUCAGGAAUGGAAUCUGAGUGUUGACCAGGAGGACAUUAAAGAAGAA